CUGGACUUGCUAUGGCAAGAGGCAAUGAACGAGGCUGGGAGUGAGGGCGAGUGGGAGCGAGAGUAUGAUGACGGAUGCGAAGACUUUGUCGCUCUGCUGAGACACGACAAGUGCAUGUCCGCCUACGAACUACAGAGCAGCGGUAUCAUCCAAGCCCUC